rnacentral:rRNA from 1 species
UACAGGGGGUGCAAACGUUGCUCGGAAUCAUUGGGCGUAAAGCGCACGUAGGCGGUUCGUUAUGUCGGAUGUGAAAGCCCUUGGCUUAACCGAGGAAGUGCAUCCGAAACUGGCGAGCUAGAGUACUAAAGAGGAUCGCGGAAUUCCCGGUGUAGAGGUGAAAUUCGUAGAUAUUAGGAGGAACACCAGUGGCGAAAGCGACUGUCUGGACCAUUACUGACGCUGAGGCGUGAAAGCGUGGGGAGCAAACAGG